GGUAGUUCCCAGGUGACACACUCCAGAAUCGGGCUCUCUCCUCUCUGGUUCUGGGUGCAUCACCUGAGAACUGCA
rfam:Myotis lucifugus cont2.26330, whole genome shotgun sequence.